GAGAGGAUGCCAUUCCCCGAGGAGUGGAACAUGAAACCUGUUGCUUGGCUUCCUAGUGUGAUCCUGGACCUCGCAGGUUGGGUCUGGCAACUGGCCUCUACUUCUUCAUAUGCGGAACGUAGCUAGCGUGAUUUGGCCAAGGGUCGAUGGGAAGCUAAAAACCAUGAGACGCCAUUGCUAUGCGGCCGCCCCCGCCCGGUGAAGAAGAACUCCCAAAAUCAACCAAAGAAAAGAAGAGGAAGAGGGGGUCACCUGCAAGUUCCCCGAAGCCAAAGAAAAGCUGAGCUCGAAAGCCUAGGGCCGAUCCUGUGGCCCUAUCUUUCGAAAUAGCCCAACACCUUCGGGGUGAAGAGGAAGAGGGAGAAGAUGACGACUGCCUAUUGGUAGCUCAGAAAAGAGGAAGCAUUGACGCUUCGAAAGCCGAUGAGCCGAUGGUGGCUGAUGCGGUUCAACCUCGAACCGAAGAAAUUUUGGAGGGGAGCUCGAGCAGAGUCCCCGAGCCAUUAGGUGGUAAAAAUGUGUCUCGUCUCGGGGGACAUUUGGCGGGCGAGCCCGAGGAGCCUAGUUCCGAGGUCCUCCACAUAGAGGGUGAUAUCCCAAGUGAAUCACUUGGGAUAAUUAAUGUAGAUGACUCGCUGUUGAUACCCAA